AGCUGGGGCAGCACCUGACUGGCAGGGCUGGGGAAGGGGCAGGGGGCAGGCAGCCCAGGCUCCCCGUCCUGCAGGGGAGAGGUGUAACUGCUUCGACGGUCACGUGGCCAGUGUUGGCAGCAGACAUGGGACCAGGACUGGAACUUGCCGGAAUUUGUAUUCAUUUGCUUUUUUUAUUUAGCACUUCUACAGUGUUUAUUAUGUGCUAAGUGCUGUUUUAAGGGUUUUACCAAUAAGCACACAUAGUCCUCCCGAUCUGUGAUGUGGAUAUGAUCACCUCCCAUUUUACAGAUAAGGAAACUGAGGCACAGAGAGGUUAAGCAACUUACCCGAGGUCGCCAGCUACGCAGAGGUAGAGCCAGGAUUCAAGUCCGGCUCCGGGUAGCCUGGCUCCAGCUCUGUGCCCUGAAGCCCCAGGCUGGGCCACCUUGAUUUCCAGCUGUGAACGUCCCCCAGGCCCUGACUCAUCAGGUUCCCUCCGUUCCCUCCCGUCUUCCUGGAUUCUACCUUCCCUGCACGCACCCAACAGUGCUGGGUGCAUUCUAGGGUGGGGGCUGGACCCCCGGGAGCUAAGGAAUGUCUUCAGGCACUAGAUUCCCCUGGGUGUUUCCUGAGGACACUCGCCUCUUCCCUGCACUCCCCAGGUCCCUCUCCCCUCCGUUACCUAUCCUGGAAGAACCGACGGAAGCCAAAGGCCACCAGUUUGAAAACAGACUCCAAGACGAAGAUGACGGUGAAGAUGUAGUUGCAGAUCUUCAGAGCCUCGUCCAAGACCUGGCAGGGAUGGGGAAACUGAGGCCUGGGGGCAGUCAAACGAGGCUGACUGGAGAAGAGGCAAGAUUGCAGUUGUGUGACCUUGGUAAAGUCAAGGAACCUCUCUGAG